rnacentral:rRNA from 1 species
UUUACGGGAGGCAGCAGUGGGGAAUCUUGCACAAUGGGCGAAAGCCUGAUGCAGCGAUGCCGCGUGAGUGAAGAAGGCCUUUGGGUUGUAAAGCUCUUUUGUCAGGAAAGAUAAUGACUGUACCCGAAGAAUAAGGUCCGGCUAACUUCGUGCCAGCAGCCGCGGUAAU